GAUGAACGCUGGCGGCGUGCUUAACACAUGCAAGUCGAACGAAGCAUUUGCGACAGAUUUUUUCGGAAUGAAGUUGCUUAUGACUGAGUGGCGGACGGGUGAGUAACGCGUGGGUAACCUGCCUUGUACUGGGGGCUGGCAGCUGGAAACGGCUGGUAAUACCGCAUAAGCGCACAAUGUUGCAUGACAUGGUGUGAAAAACUCCGGUGGUAUAAGAUGGACCCGCGUCUGAUUAGCUAGUUGGUGAGAUAACAGCCCACCAAGGCGACGAUCAGUAGCCGACCUGAGAGGGUGACCGGCCACAUUGGGACUGAGACACGGCCCAGACUCCUACGGGAGGCAGCAGUGGGGAAUAUUGCACAAUGGAGGAAACUCUGAUGCAGCGACGCCGCGUGAGUGAAGAAGUAAUUCGUUAUGUAAAGCUCUAUCAGCAGGGAAGAUAGUGACGGUACCUGACUAAGAAGCUCCGGCUAAAUACGUG
rnacentral:rRNA from 1 species